rnacentral:rRNA from 1 species
UACGUAGGAGACGAGCGUUAUCCGGAUUUAUUGGGCGUAAAGAGCAUGUAGGCGGGCUCUCAAGUCGGACGUGAAAUCUCUCGGCUCAACUGAGAGGGGUCGUUCGAUACUAGGAGUCUUGAGGGCAGGAGAGGGGAGUAGAAUUCCCGGUGUAGUGGUGGAAUACGUAGAUAUCGGGAGGAAUACCAGUGGCGAAGGCGGCUCCCUGGCCUGUGCCUGACGCUGAGAUGCGAAAGCGUGGGUAGCAAACGGGAUUAGAUACCCCCGUA